GGAAGUGUGGCUCAAGUGGCAGAGUGCUAGCCUAGAAAGCAUGAGGCCCCGAGUUCAAGCCCCAGUGCUUUCA
rnacentral:tRNA from 1 species